rnacentral:lncRNA from 1 species
CUUGCUUCGGGUUGUUAUGAAGAGGAAGGGAAGGAAUUACUUAUCUAAUAAAUAUACUAGCUAGUUAGCUAUCCUAGCAGGCAAAGAAAACACCUUUUCGGCUUCUUCUUCAUCGUCGGCGAAGAACGCGUACUUCCGUAAACGGUCCUGCUGCUUUAUGUCAAAAUAAAAGUCCCAUGUUUCUUUAGGAGGUAUUUUCUCUAUGAUAAAGAACAUUUCUCCACCUUCAAUCCUUUUAUUUCAAAUCAUAAUCAGGAAUGCAAUAUUUAUAAAAUGAGAAUAUGCGAUGAUUUUUAUGUACUGUUUCGAGAUCAGAUCAUUUGACUAUUAUUUAGAAAAUGCGACCGGAAAAGGGAGCUGAGUUUACCUUACACAUAUUUUCUUACUUCCUAACUGCUGAGAGGGUAAAGUAUAUAUUGAUGACUCUUGAUUAGUCUCCUACAUGGCGGCUAACAGCGAUUUCCUCUUAACAUUUCAAGACUUACACAGUGAUUAUGACAACUUCCAGAGGAUGUCCUCCAACCUAUCAGAGCUCUUGCAGCAUGAACUGACAUGUCCACCCAAUCAUAGGAUCAAAACAUGUAUCUAGUACUGAAAGCAUAAGCUACAGCUAGCUAUCACUGCAGUGCAUAAAAUGUGAGUAAAUAACCAAAGAGAGAGACAAUAUUUUAAUAUUUUUGAAAAAAAUAAUUUCUUCAAAAAUCCUGAUAUUACCAGGUUGUGCCCACUAGAUGGUGGUAUUGGGCAUUUAUUUCUGAAUCAGAAUCUCAUAACCUUCCUCUUUACAAACAUUCUGAAUCAGAAUCUCAUAACCUAACAUUCUGAAUCAGAAUCUUUGUCAUAAGCUUUCUCUUUACUAACAUUCUGAAUCAGAAUCUCAUAACCUAACAUUCUGAAUCAGAAUCUUUGUCAUAAGCUUUCUCUUUACUGACAUUCUGAAUCAGAAUCUUUGUCAUAACCUUUCUCUUGACUGACAUUCUGAAUCAGAAUCUCAUAACCUAACAUUCUGAAUCAGAAUCUUUGUCAUAACCUUCCUCUUUACUAACAUUCUGAAUCAGAAUCUUUGUCAUAACCUUUCUCUUUGCUAACAUUCUGAAUCAGAAUCUUUGUCAUAACCUUUCUCUUUACUAACAUUCUGAAUCAGAAUCUUUGUCAUAACCUUUCUCUUUACUAACAUUCUGAAUCAGAAUCUCAUAACCUUUCUCUUUACUAACAUUCUGAAUCAGAAUCUUUGUCAUAACCUUUCUCUUUACUAACAUUCUGAAUCAGAAUCUCAUAACCUUCCUCUUUACUAACAUUCUGAAUCAGAAUCUCAUAACCUUCCUCUUUACUAACAUUCUGAAUCAGAAUCUCAUAACCUUUCUC